CAAAAAGUCAUCCGCGGUAUCAAGGAAAACCACAUCAAAUUCAAAGGAGAAACUCAAAUCAAAUGCAGAGCAAAAGACUCACCCUCGAUGCUGUCAGUGGCCGCACGAGCAAACGCCAAUCCGUGUUGUCGCGCUCCGUCGUCGAUGAUUCAUAUGCUUUUGGUUGUGUUUAUGAAGACGUACGUUUCUCCGUGUUCGUGCCUGGUUGAUCAAGACGAUGAUGAAGAUUGAGGACGACUUUCGAUCCGUGCCCUGCGUUUUUGAGAUGAAGAGUGAAUGAGAGUUCCGGGUAUGCAAAAGUGCGGAUUUGAAUUGAACAAGGCCUAAGCAUGAAGACACAUGAGAACAUGGUGAAUGCAGUAUUAAAAGCAAAUGGAUCCUUGAAGAUUCAAAAAGAUGACUGGGUGGAGAAGCAAUGCAAGAAAUAGGGUUUAGGAUGGUAAAAGUAGACAGUUGACUUUGGUCAACUGGUUGACCAAAAAGUCAAUAGUUGACCAAAAGUCAACUUAGGUAAAAAAAAUGUAUUUUUUUUGGAUGAAAUGAUAUGUAAUGACUUAUAAUGUAUUGUAAUGGUACUUUGCAAUGCUAUAUUAAUAUUUCCUUUGAAAUGAA